rnacentral:tRNA from 1 species
AAGGAUGGGUCUUCAACAGCUUGCUCUUCGGAGCGGAUUGUUAUCGACCUGUUUUAGAAACAUCAGGGGUUCAAGUCAUAAUGAACCCCACUUGGCGGGAUUUCGCCGUCUUCGUUUCUCUUUCUUCGCGGACGAACACGCGCCUGGGGCGGCGCGCAAGCGAUCCAUCGAUGGGCCAUUUGGUUGGCCUGGUCGGUGCGCGCGCGCAUGCUCCUCGUGUUGAGGGCUUGUAGCUCAGUUGGUUAGAGCGCGCGCUUGAUAAGCGUGAGGUCGGAAGUUCAAGUCUUCCCAGGCCCACCAUUUGAUCGAGCGCAGCAUUCGUCUUCUGGUUACGGGGCCAUAGCUCAGCUGGGAGAGCGCGUGCUUUGCAAGCAUGAGGUCGUCGGUUCGAUCCCGUCUGGCUCCACCAGAUGGCUGAUCGGCCACCAUGACCCUUGCCUGCUUGAUCGCGCUUACUGAAAGCGCGCUCUGUAUCGUUAACGUCCGCGAGACUUGUAUUCGCCGACCUUCUUCAAUGAAGGUCCGCGGGUUUUCUGACAUCGUAAAGAGGAGAUCGAUCCGGGUUUGGAUCCAGCGAAGCAAUUCGCGGGGUUCGGGCGCGUAUCUCCAGAUCAUUUUCGGCGCAUGCUCAUCGCAAGGUGAACGUGUUGUAAAAUGGUCUUUGUUGGCGACGCUUGACCGCAUCGCCAUCGGGUCGAUCUUACGAAGCAAUAACUGGUCUUUUCAAAUCAAUGUCCGUUCGUGGAAGGCGUCCUUCGGGGUGCGCUGCGGACUACAUUCUGCCGAGUGUGUGGACAUUGAUAAUGAGAGCAAUCAA